rnacentral:tRNA from 2 species
GCAGUCGUGGCCGAGUAGUUAAGGCGAUGGACUAGAAAUCCCUUGGGGUCUUUCCGCAAAGGUUUGAAUCCUGUCGGCUGCG